ACGAACGCUGGCGGCGUGCUUAACACAUGCACGUCGAACGGAAAGGCCCUGCUUUUGUGGGGUGCUCGAGUGGCGAACGGGUGAGUAACACGUGAGUAACCUGCCCUUGACUUUGGGAUAACUUCAGGAAACUGGGGCUAAUACCGGAUAGGAGCUCCUGCUGCAUGGUGGGGGUUGGAAAGUUUCGGCGGUUGGGGAUAGACUCGCGGCUUAUCAGCUUGUUGGUGGGGUAGUGGCUUACCAAGGCUUUGACGGGUAGCCGGCCUGAGAGGAUGACCGGCCACAUUGGGACUGAGAUACGGCCCAGACUCCUACGGGAGGCAGCAGUGGGGAAUAUUGCACAAUGGGCGGAAGCCUGAUGCAGCAACGCCGCGUGCGGGAUGACGGCCUUCGGGUUGUAAACCGCUUUCGCCUGUGACGAAGCGUGAGUGACGGUAAUGGGUAAAGAAGCACCGGCUAACUACGUG
rnacentral:rRNA from 1 species